UCCUGGCAGGGAGCCAGAGAGGGAGAGACAGCAAAAGAAAUGAAAUCACAAUGUGGCACAGGGCAAAGAAAGAGAAAAUUGAAAAACAGGGCCUGGGAACUGGAAAGAGAGAGCCGGGGGGGGGGGGGGAAAGCUGCUCUAGGGCAGAGAAGGAGGAAUGAAAAAACAGGGGCAGGGAGCCAGAGAGAGACGAAGACAGACAACUUCAGAAGCGGUGGUCUACAGGGCAGAGGGGGAGGAAUUUUAAAAAAGAAAUCAGGAUCUUGAGCUGGACAAGAGAGAGAACAUAAAAAUGGUGAUGGGUAACAGGGCAGAGAGGGAGGAAUCAAAAAACAGGGGCAGGGAGGCAGAGAGACUGAAAAGGGCAAAAGUCCUGACAGGCUUCUGGAGAGAGAGAGAGGAAAUAAAAAUUAGAGACAGGGGAGUUGGACAGAGAGAGACGGGGAAAGGGGAAAAAGCUGCAGCAAGCUACCAGGCAGAGGAGAAGAGUUUAGAAAUGGGGACAGUGAGAUGGACAGAGAGGAGGGAGAAAGGAAAGAAGCAACGGGCAAUGCGGCAGAUAGGGCAGAAUGAAGAAAGAGGGACGGGGAGCCAGACAAACCAAGAUGGGGAUAUAAAAACAUAGUGACGGGCUAGGGGGCAGAAAGAGAAGACUUAGAAAAACAGGGACAGGGAGCAAGAGAGAGGGAGAUGGAGAAAGGAAAAAAUACCGAUGGGCAACAGGACAGAGAGGAGGGAAUUGAAAAUGAGGGGCUGGAAGCAGGAUAAAGAGAGACAGAGAAAGAAAAAGAUUCGUGAUGUGCUACAGAGCCAAGAAGGGAGACCUUGAAUGACAGGGAGCCAGACAGAGCGAGCCAGAAACAGCAAAAAUACCGAUGAGCUGCAGGACAGAGAGGGAGGAAUACAAAAAUAGUGGCUAGGAGCCAGACAGAAAAAGACAGAGAAGGAAAGAGUUAGCUAUGGGCUACAGGUCAGAGACAGAGAAGACCUAAAAGAUGGGGACAGGGAGCUGCUCAGAGCAAAAUUCAAAAAGGAGAUACAGGGGAGGAAAAAAAGAAAAGCACAGCGGCAUGGGAAAAAGAUGGGGGCAGGGAGGGCCUGGGACGCCCAAGAGGGGUGACAGGGCCCUGAGGGCCCGGGACUCACCGCAGCUUUCGCUCUUGACGCUGCCAGGAGAAUUUGCCAGUUCAGCUGCUUCUUUCUCCUUCUCCCCUCCCUUCCUCUUCUGUUAACUCCGGUCGCUUGGCUGUCUUCCACCUAAGAGAAUACGUGGGUGUCUCACAGCUGUUACAAGACAAAGCUUCCUAGACACGUAGUCUUGCUCCCUCAUGCAGUACGUGCAAGAGUAGGACAGAGGGAGAGAGAAAGAAGGUAGGAAACAAGCCAGAGGGAUUGAGGAAAAGAGAGACAGUGAUCAUGACAAAGGGAUGGAGAGAGAAAAACCAGCUCCGGGCUGCAGGAUGAGAAAAAAGGCCAGGGAGCAGGACAGAGGGGAAUAAUGGAACAGCGAGCUGGGCAGAGGGGUAUAGCGAGAAAUGAUGGAACAGGCAUUGGUAUGGGCAUGUACAGACAAAAAGUUAGUUGGAGGGUGGAAGACAGAGACAAUAAGAGAAAAGGGACAGGGCAUAGAUGGAGAAAGGAAUAUUAGAGACAGAGAGAGGCAGAGAGGUGGAGUGGGAAAAAAUGAUGAUGGGUAGCAGGCCAGAGGGACAAGGAAAAACAGGAGGAAGGACAGCGGGAUAUAGAAAACAGGUGAGGGACAGGGUGCCAGAAAGCGGGAUACUGCAAAAGAGAGAAGGAUGGGGAUCGGGACGCUGGCAUAGGGAGGCAAUGAGAGCAACAGAGAAAACAGGGACAGAGAGUGGGACAGAGAAGUGAAGCAACAAAUAAUAGGGCCAGGGAGCAGGACAGAGGAAGAGAGACAGUGAGAGGGGGACAGGUAAGACAACAGAUCAUUAGAGAAAGAAAAUAAAAGGAACAGCACAGAGGGUCACAGAGAAAAAGAGAGGGAGAGCAAAAAGGGAAAAAUAAGAUGAGGGAGGAAGACUGAGCAGCAGAGAGAAAAAGGUACAGGGAAAAUGACAGAGAUGGAGAAAACAAAGACUGGAGGCAGAGCAAAGGGAAAGAUUGACAAGGACAGGGAGCGGGAUAAAGGGAUGGAA